ACAUAUUUCUAUGAAAUAACUUUUUUCGUAUGUGUUGGAAUAAAAAUUUAGGCAAAUAAUAUAAAGUCAAUUUUUUUAAGUGUGUUUAGUCUUCGCUAAAAUCAUGACAUAAAUUUAUUAUACUUAAUGCCGUAAAAAAACUUAAAUGUUCAUAAGGUUCAUAUUCUAUACAAUUUAAAAAUAAAUAUAUUCUAAACCACCUACUAUAAAAUUAAAACAAAAGAAAAAUCACGUCCAUCACAAAGAUAUUGGUCAACAAAUUAUAAUAAAUCAGUUUAAUAUAUAGUGAUCAAUUCACCUUAACAAUAUCAAACAUGUAUGAGUUUUAACAAAGGAAAAUAAAAGAAUUAUUUUAUUUACUGACAGAAAAUCAAUAAAAAAAACAAUAAAAUAUUACCUCUUAAAAAUAAUUACUCAGAAUGUAAACUUUUACCGAUUGUAGAAAUUGUGGCUUUUGGAAAGCUAGAAAUAGUAAAAAAAUUCCAAAUAAAUUUUGCUAUUAGUAAUCAAAUACUGUGCAAAGUUUUUAAAUUCACAAUUGUCAUAAUGUCAUCAUGCACGUAUAAUUAUAUAAAGGAUUGUAAUUAUUGUUGAAAGCUUUUGCGAAUUCGAUAAAAAACUGCGAUAAUACGUAAUGUAGCCAAGUCAAUUAUUUAUUUGGUCAAAUUAAAGCUGUUUAGUCAUGAGUAGAAUAUGGACGUACUUCAAGAAUAGCACAAUUCAUGGAUUUAAUUAUAUUGCGGACGAAAAGCGACACUGGACCGAAAGAAUAUUUUGGAUAUUAACGUGUUUGAUAUCAGGCUUUGCUACUUGGCAAUACUUGGACGCUACUUGGUACGCUUAUAAACAUAAUGCGGUUAGUUUUGUGUCAGACACAACUUAUUUACAUUGGAAUACUAGUUUUCUUUCAUUGUCAGUAUGCGAACAAGAAUCACCAGAUAGAUUAUAUGAUUCAGCCACUAAACUGUUUGGAUCAAACCGAGACUCAAGUGUAGAUUUUUAUCUGAGAGAUAUUGCUUUCUACGAUGGCGCUUGUUACUCGUGUGUCACUCACUGCCUGAAAGAAUCGGUGAAUUGCUCAACAGAUUUUGCAACCAUAAUACGUGAAAUUCGAGCAAAUUGCAAAGACCUAAUAGGAAAUUGCAUUUGGAACAACGAAACGUUCGAGUGUUGUGAACAGUUUUUACCAAUAACUACGGAAAAUGGCGUGUGUUUCACGAUAAAUUCUUUACAUACUGUCAAGCGCAAUGAAGAAAAACUGAAAAUGAUAUCAAACAAAGAACUAGGACCAGGAAGACUUUCAUUUACUGCAUUUGAAUCUAUAAAACUGUAUAUUCAUGCGCCGGAAGACAUACCAUACGUCAAUCAUCCAGAAGAAGAGAAGUUUGUACUCAGCUGGGGUGUAUCGUUUCUUUUAACAUAUCAGGUAAAAGAAAUAGAAAACGAUCCAAUAUUAAAAGAUGUUGACAUUGCUCAGAGAAAUUGUCGAUUUCCUGAUGAAAAUGAUUUAGACGUUUACAGUGUUUACAGUAAUUCAGCAUGUAUUGUCAAUUGUAGGGCUCAUGCACAACUAGAUCUAUGCAAUUGCACUCCACACUAUUUAAGAAUUCCUGGAACACCAAUAUGCGAAGUUGAAGGACUAGGAUGUAUAACUAAACACGCAGAAUUAUUUAGAGCACUAAAAACUAGUGAUUUCAACAAACUAGGACUUGUCUGUGAUUGUAUAUCUAGCUGUACUGAACCAGAAUAUAAUGUUUUAUCUACAGAAGUUGGAUCAUUGAGCGAUGAUCCAAAUAAUGAAGAGGGUAAUUAUGGUUCCAAGGUCGUAAUCGCUUUGGAUAGACUUCCAAAUGAAAGACUUAAAAGAAAUGUUGUUCGAUCUAGAAUGGAUCUAAUUGUAUCAUUUGGAGGAACUUUGGCUUUAUUCUUGGGAGUCAGCCUGUUGAGUAUUGUUGAAAUAUUCUACUACUUUCUCAUAUGGACUGAUUCUAAAACCAACAAACGUGGAAGAAAUAAAACACGGCCUAUAAAAAUGAAAAACAACUUUCCUUUUUUAAAUUAGUACGAUUUAACUUUUCAUAUUUUAAUAGUUAACAAUGUUGUCACUGAACAUAAUUUAUUGCGUUAGCCAUUUUUGUCGGAUAUUCAGCAAUUAUUAUGGUCAUUAAUUUCAUCAAAGAACCUUGGUCAGCAUAUAUAUUUUUAUAAGAGACUCGCCGACUACAUAAACAGAUACAAAAUGAUAAUACUUCAAAGAGGAAGAUGAAAUGCAACGAGCAGCAAGUCCUACCAUUUACACGUAUUAUAAUUAUUCAACAAAAUUAAUUACUAAUAAAAAAUAUUAAUUAUGAUUUAUCAC